rnacentral:rRNA from 1 species
UACGUAGGGUGCGAGCGUUAAUCGGAAUUACUGGGCGUAAAGCGUGCGCAGGCGGUUCUCCAAGUCCGUUGUGAAAGCCCCGGGCUCAACCUGGGAAUGGCAGUGGAAACUAGGGGACUGGGAUCUGGCAGAGGGGGGUGGAAUGCCGCGUGUAGCAGUGAAAUGCGUAGAGAUGCGGCGGAACACCGAUGGCGAAGGCAGCCCCCUGGGCUGAGAUUGACGCUCAGGCACGAAAGCGUGGGGAGCAAACAGG